UACGGGGGGAGCAAGCGUUGUUCGGAUUUACUGGGCGUAAAGGGCGCGUAGGCGGUCGUGACAAGUCACUUGUGAAAUCUCCGGGCUUAACUCGGAAAGGUCAACUGAUACUGUGCGACUAGAGUGCGGAAGGGGCAACUGGAAUUCUCGGUGUAGCGGUGAAAUGCGUAGAUAUCGAGAGGAACACCUGCGGCGAAGGCGGGUUGCUGGGCCGACACUGACGCUGAGGCGCGAAAGCCAGGGGAGCGAACGGG
rnacentral:rRNA from 1 species